UACGAAGGGUGCAAGCGUUAUUCGGAAUUACUGGGCGUAAAGCGUGCGUAGGCGGUUCGUUAAGUCUGAUGUGAAAGCCCUGGGCUCAACCUGGGAAUGGCAUUGGAAACUGGCGAUCUAGAGUGCGGUAGAGGGUAGUGGAAUUCCCGGUGUAGCAGUGAAAUGCGUAGAGAUCGGGAGGAACAUCUGUGGCGAAGGCGACUGCCUGGACCAGCACUGACACUGAGGCACGAAAGCGUGGGGAGCAAACAGG
rnacentral:rRNA from 1 species